rnacentral:rRNA from 1 species
GAGUGGACUCCUACGGGAGGCAGCAGUGGGGAAUAUUGGACAAUGGGGGAAACCCUGAUCCAGCGACGCCGCGUGAGUGAAGAAGUAUUUCGGUAUGUAAAGCUCUAUCAGCAGGGAAGAAAAUGACGGUACCUGACUAAGAAGCCCCGGCUAACUACGUGCCAGCAGCCGCGGUAAUACGUAGGGGGCAAGCGUUAUCCGGAUUUACUGGGUGUAAAGGGAGCGCAGACGGCGAAGCAAGUCUGAAGUGAAAUGCAUGGGCUCAACCCAUGAAUUGCUUUGGAAACUGUUUGGCUUGAGUGUCGGAGGGGUAAGCGGAAUUCCUAGUGUAGCGGUGAAAUGCGUAGAUAUUAGGAGGAACACCGGAGGCGAAGGCGGCUUACUGGACGACAACUGACGUUGAGGCUCGAAGGCGUGGGGAGCAAACAGGAUUAGAAACCCCGGUAGUCC